UACAUUUCAAGUAACAAUUUUAUUCCAACCCUCUACAUGCAUCUUGGACAUCAACGUCUUCGUCAUAUCCAGAGCCACAGUGUCUUGAAGAACAUAUCCUUCAACUGCAUCCAAGUUGUUUGAGCUGCAGCAUUUUAAAAUACUUAUCUGACAUUGUCAUUGGAAAGUUUGAUCCAAGUCACCACGUGAGGGCAGUUCUUGCCCCACCCCCAACUUAUCGUGUAGGCGCAGUCUGAGCAAAAGCAGUAACGCCUAAGAGAACGUUCCUUCCCCUCAAACAGUCACGCGCAGCGAGGAGGCGUUGGCACCGUCUGGCCAGUGGAGUGUGCUCGCCAAUGGGGCGGGCCUGCUGACGGCGGCGAGGUCCGGACCCGGUAGCCGGCUGAGUGGAAGGGCAGGCAGGGGGUCGCCUACUAUCCGAAAGACAGAAAGCAAAAAGGCCACCAACUGCACAGCGGAGAAGGGGGAGGCAGCCGAGGCUGGGUGCUCUUCCCGCCCCCAACCCUUGCUUGUCAAUAUUCUUAAUUUACAAAAAAAAAAAAAAAAAAAAAAAAAAAAAAAAAAAAAAAAAAGAAAGAAAGAAAGAAAGAAAAAAGAAGAAACAAAACAAAAACCGCGUAGUCUGGGAACAAACAUUUUGUUCAAGGUACCACAGGGGAAACGGGAGUGACUGCUACUGUACAUUCCUUCCCACACGUAUUCUGAAGGGAAAGUGAAGUAACCUGGAGGAGUAUUCCAGAAGAGCAAGUCCUGAUGCGCAAAGCAAAGGAGACUCCUCUUUUUUGUUAGCAGGGGAGAGUCUGGUUUUCAGUAUACUGCAUUUUAGGAGCAAUUAAAAUGUAAAAAGUGUAUGCUGUCACCACAGGGAAGGACAAUGUCACUGAGAUGACCUAUCAGCUGGCUUCCUUCCAAAUUAAUGCCUCUGCGAAUGCACAAUGCCGCUGAAGGAAAACAACCCGCUAGCACCACGCUGCCUCCCUGAGCUGCCUGGCUCUCGGAGGGGCUGACUCACCUGUUGGUUUAGGAGGCCAAAGCAAAGCACUUCUGGUACCUGCUUUAUGAUACUUUUAGGGAUGGGUUACCGCUACAGAAUGGGCAUCGAGUAUCCGCUCUGCGCUUAUCUGCCUCCCACAGUAUGUGGUCCCUGUCUAUUCCAGUGGACUAAAAUUGUUUCGUAAAUGGGUUAUUGCCAUUGGAAAGCUAUUAGUUUUCUAGUAAUGUAAACAAUACCACUUUGUCUCUUUAUGACUUUCACUGUGUGAACAUCAUGUGCAGCAAAUGUCUACAUGUCACUCUGCUUAGGAUGGAAGUCUAGGAUUGUCUGCCAUUCUUUCUUGGGAACAACAGUGAUAUAUUCGUGAAAAGAAAUACAGUGCUUUGUCUUCAUUGGCUGUGUUGAAGAAUCCAACCAAAGGAAAAAAGUUCUCUUAUUUUUCAAAAGCAGAUUCCCUUUAUCUCAGGUCUUGAGUCAUAGCUGAAAAAAAGAAAAAGAAAAAGAAAAAGGUAACGUACAUUUCUACAGCCAGUGACAUUAUUACAGAUUAAGAAGGGAAUCAAAACCUAGUGUCUACUACAUACCAGCAUCCAGGACAGCCAGGAUUGGACCACAGCCACUUGAGGCAGAAUACUAGAACUACCUUCAUUUCCAUAUGAAUGAAUGAAUGGAUGAAUGAAUGAAUGAAUGGAUGGAUGGAUGGAUGGAUGGAAGCUUUAAAAAGGUCAAGCAACUCACCCCAGCAUUACCCAACAGGACUAGACUGGCAACCAGAUUUGCUUUUAUCUCUCCAUUUUGGCACCAGAUUAUUAGAACGAAAUACCUACCUUUUGACAGAGUAAUUCUGCUUCUAGCAAUUAACCCAACAGCAUACUUGUAAGAGAGGGCAAAGACUUCUAUACACAGACAUGCAUUAAAGUACUGUCUGUAACAGGGAAAAACCCCAAACAACUUAAAUGACGAUCCUUAGAGGAUUCACUAAAUCAGGAGAGCCAUAAUACGGAAUACUCCAACACCUUCAGAAAGAGAAAAAGAACUCUGACCUCGCCUCCUAAGACCAAGAUCUUGAGGCUGAGACCCCUGUACUCACAGCUCUGGGGAGGGAACAAACAUCCCGGGGAGACAAGGUCUUGGGGACAGAUACACACGAAAUAACUCAGUGAUGCCGUGAGGUAGUUCACGUUACAUUCCCAAGUACGUUUCAUAGACACGCGCAGAGUAGGCGAUUCUGAGCACAGAGGCAUCAACAUAGGCUAGAGAGGGGCUGGGCACUGCUUCGUGGAAGCAGCUCACAUUCAUAUAAUCAUAGAAUGAGAAUCAGAAAGAGAUCUUAUGAGACUGUCUUGUCCAAUUUUUCUGAUCUACUGAUGAAGAAAUGGGGACUGGAAAGGAAAGCAACGUGCGGAAGGUCCCACGUGUUCACUAAAAGUGGACUGAAGACGUCCUGUUAGCCCAGCACUUUCUCCAUACCAACACACUGCUGAUCCCUAAAGGACACACAGGAUGGUCAUCUUAGCCAGCCAAAGAGGAGGCUAGCGAGCUUAAAAAACAAAAUAUAGCAAAAUAGACGUAAUAUUUUAAAAUGAAAAGCACACGGUAAUAAAAUCCGAACAUACAACUCAAAUAAAAAGCCCCAAUUUUAAAUACCUGCUUUCUAAAAUGGUGCUGAAAAGAACAUUUUCACGUUGUCAAACAUUUGAUCAUCAACGAUAAUGGGAAUCACAACUUCAUACACCUUUAUCUUGCUCUUUGCUAUUUAGGUUGACUGAGCCAGUGGAGAUAGACAAAUAUCGCCACCCUUACACAGAAAAAAGGAUGGAAUCUGCCACAGUGAACAGAGCUUUGGUGUGAAAUGGCUCAGUGUGAAGUUCAAAAUUAAACCAACCUCUGGUAAUGACAGUGCUUGGAGUAAAAAGUUGGCAAGGAAAGGGUGAUGCUGGACCUAAAUUUCAAUUCAAGCCCUCCAAACUACUGUGGGUUAUACGGGGUGUCAUCUGAACCUAUUUGAUUCUGAUUCCUGAUUUUUGCUAACAUAAAUAAUAGAGGAGUCAUUUAAUGCCUUCAUAAUGAACAUGAGCAGAUAUUCUCCUCUCGCAUUAAGUCUCUGUGAUCAACUCAAGUUAGGGAAAGUAAAACUGUUGAAAAAACUGGAAUGUUGGCUUGAGGAGAGGACUGGGGGGUACGCUAUGUGGCUGCCUUCAACUUUCUAACGGUUACUUGCAUGACUUCUCACAGGUACUACUAGAACUAGCUGGAGAAGCUACUGAGAAACAGUAUUAGCUUGUGGCAAGUCAGAAUUUCCUAACCAUUACAGCUGCGGGCCUCCAGACAAAGAUGGAGAGUUGAUCGCACUCAUCCAAUUCACUCCUUCCUAAAAUAAGCAGUUAAAAAAAGAAAAAGAAAAAGAAAAAGAAACAAAAUUCACACAAGUGGGGAAAGUGAGAGAAGAGGCAGAACAAACUUGCAGAAGCUGGAAGCAAAUGUAUGAGUGGUAAAUGACUUAGCUGGUCCAAAAGACUCAAUCCUAAAAGGAAAGUGGAAAAAGUGGAGAAGCAACCUGAUUUACAAUGCAGAAUCCCUCAAAGUCCAGGAAUUGGUGGCACCAGUAUGUCUCAUAAAGGGAAUGGGGGCUGGGUGCAAACACAAGGAUUUCUUAAAAGCCUGUUUUGGAAGUUAGUAAUCUACAGUUAUUCUGCAAUUCUGCUCAACCAGCCCCUGCCCCGAAACCAAUCUCAGCAGAAAAAUCUGAGAUUUUUUCUCUGAGCAGAGUAAGACAGAGGGUCUCUGGGCUGACCUACACCAAACACGACCAAGUACAAGGAUUCUGUCCUGAAAAGAGGGGGAUUAAGGAGAGGUAUAAAUAAGAAUAAUGAGACUUCCCUAGCUUUUUCCCACUUGCCUCCUUGGUAGCCUGGCCUUCAUCCUCCAGGCUGGAGACUGCUAGUGUUUUCUCUGGAAAUAUGAUCAGUCCAAGAAGAAAACUUAAAUUAAAAAAAAAAAAAAAA